UACUCUAUCCAUUUGGAGUAAUCCUACCACAGCCUGCUUGAUUGGUAACGAUCAUGUUGGGAAGCCUGUGGGACAAUAUGGAAAGUCUGAUAGCCUAAAAUCGGAUGGACUG
rfam:Streptococcus dysgalactiae subsp. dysgalactiae ATCC 27957 chromosome, whole genome shotgun sequence.